rnacentral:rRNA from 1 species
GCAGCCAUGCCGCGUGUAUGAAGAAGGCCUUCGGGUUGUAAAGUACUUUCAGCAGAGAGGAAGGCGGGUACGUUAAUAGCGUGCUCGUUUGACGUUAGCUGCAGAAGAAGCACCGGCUAACUCCGUGCCAGCAGCCGCGGUAAUACGGAGGGUGCGAGCGUUAAUCGGAAUUACUGGGCGUAAAGCGCAUGCAGGUGGUUUGUUAAGUCAGAUGUGAAAGCCCGGGGCUCAACCUCGGAAUUGCAUUUGAAACUGGCAGACUAGAGUACUGUAGAGGGGGGUAGAAUUUCAGGUGUAGCGGUGAAAUGCGUAGAGAUCUGAAGGAAUACCGGUGGCGAAGGCGGCCCCCUGGACAGAUACUGACACUCAGAUGCGAAAGCGUGGGGAGCAAACAGGAUUAGAUACCCUGGUAGUCCACGCCGUAAACGAUGUCUACUUGGAGGUUGUGGCCUUGAGCCGUGGCUUUCGGAGCUAACGCGUUAAGUAGAC